ACUGCUCGUGGUAAGUGGCUUCGUGGUCUUUAUAGCUGUUACUCUUUUGUACUUUGUCUUUUUCUUUUAUUUUCUUUUGAGCGAUUGUGCGAACAUAGCAUAGCACGCACUAUGCCUUCUGUGUUGUAGCUGCCUGGCCAGGGCGACUGGCGGAUAAGGUCUUGUGCGUGGCCUCGAGGCUUAAAAGUAGCAGUGGGGCUUUGUGAAGGACAAAAUGGCGAUGGCGGGCCGUGUAGGUCCCCCUUCCUAUGAUGAGGACCUUUUCACAGACCUGUACUGAGCUCCGUGAGGAUAAAUAACUCUGAGGAGAUGGGCCCUGCAAGCCUCUUGCUUAGCCGUCUGUUCAGAAAAUAGCGUUUUCGAAAUGCCCUGAGUUGACCUAAUGUCUUAUUGGGCUCCUGUCUGCAGGAUUUACGCGCACGUUGGAACCGAAGAGAGCUCUGUUGUUGCAAUGUUCAGCCCACAAGAGCUUACUGGUGAAGGAAUGGGACAAGACCCAUCUUUAUGCAAAGCCAGCGUUACAGUAAUGUUCCAGGUAUUCCUGAUGACAGUCUGCCUCUAUCUUACAGUACUACUAACCAAUAACCUGCUUGGCUCAAAGGGCCAGCACCUUCUCUCUAAAGCCCAAGAGGAGUUUGAGGAAAACUAGGUGUCUGUGUUCACUCCAGGCUGAAGUUACAGGUCUGAGCAAAUAAGGUGUAUAAAAAAUGGAAUCUGUCUUGGAGGACAUCAGAAGGUGAAUUUUCCAAGUUCUUGGACAACCUAGCUGUUGAAAAGCUUUCUGGGUUUGGGGGGUAUUUCAGAUGUACCUUAAAGUGUUAGCAGACACAGAUUAAGACACUGGGAGCCAAUGAAACAGCAGUUGAGGGUUUGCUGUGUAUCACAUUUCUGUAUUUUAUCACCCCCUUCCUGCAACAUUAUUUAUCUGGAAUCUACCUGCCCUUUUGUUUUUUAGAUACAAGGGCUUGGUUUUGUUACCCAGGCUGGUUUCAAGGCCAUAGCUUUAAGAGAUCCUCUCACCACAGAUUUCCAAAGUGCUGGGAUUGCAGGUGUGAUUCAUGGCACCCAGACUUUGCUGCCUUUCUUACAUGAUCCAGGCCCAGAACCCAAACUCAGGCACUGUAUAGAUGACCACUUUCGUAAACUACUGACCUAGCUUGUUGCCAAUUGUUGAUUGAACUUCCCAUAACUCCACUUCGUGUCUGUUCCUCUGUAUACAGCCACCUUCUGUUCCCGUCAUGAGCCUUUAGGUCUCCAUUUGCAUAUUGCAAAUACUAUGUUCCAUGUAGGUAGCUCAUUCAGGGCCUUGCUCUUCACUUCAAAAAAGGUUCCCUUGAGGACUGGCUGUCAAUUUGUGUUGCUGUGUUGGUUGUUGAUGAAAAUAAUAAAAUGAUUGAUUACAUA
rnacentral:lncRNA from 1 species